rnacentral:rRNA from 1 species
AUUGAACGCUGGCGGCAGGCUUAACACAUGCAAGUCGAGCGGGGUGAUGGUGCUUGCACUAUCACUUAGCGGCGGACGGGUGAGUAAUGCUUAGGAAUCUGCCUAUUAGUGGGGGACAACAUCUCGAAAGGGAUGCUAAUACCGCAUACGUCCUACGGGAGAAAGCAGGGGAUCUUUAUGACCUUGCGCUAAUAGAUGAGCCUAAGUCGGAUUAGCUAGUUGGUGGGGUAAAGGCCUACCAAGGCGACGAUCUGUAGCGGGUCUGUGAGGAUGAUCCGCCACACUGGGACUGAGACACGGCCCAGACUCCUACGGGAGGCAGCAGUGGGGAAUAUUGGACAAUGGGGGGAACCCUGACCCAGCCAUGCCGCGUGUGUGAAGAAGGCCUUAUGGUUGUAAAGCACUUUAAGCGAGGAGGAGGCUCUUUUGGUUAAUACCCAGAAUGAGUGGACGUUACUCGCAGAAUAAGCACCGGCUAACUCUGUGCCAGCCGCCGCAGUAACAC